UACAGAGGUCUCAACCGUUGUUCGGAUUCAUUGGGCGUAAAGGGUGUGUAGGCGGCUUGGCAAGUCGGGUGUGAAAGCCCUGGGCUCAACCUAGGAAGUGCACUCGAAACUGCCUCGCUGGAGUGCCGGAGAGGAAAGCGGAAUUCUCGGUGUAGAGGUGAAAUUCGUAGAUAUUCGGAGGAACACCAGUGGCGAAGGCGGCUCACUGGUCCGGAACUGACGCUGAGGUGCGAAAGCGUGGGGAGCAAACAGG
rnacentral:rRNA from 1 species